UACGGAGGGUGCGAGCGUUGUCCGGAAUUACUGGGCGUAAAGGGCGCGUAGGCGGCACUGUUAGUCAGGCGUGAAAGUCCUGGGCUCAACCUGGGAACUGCGCUUGAUACGGCAGAGCUAGAGGAUGGAAGAGGCUCGCGGAAUUCCCAGUGUAGAGGUGAAAUUCGUAGAUAUUGGGAAGAACACCGGUGGCGAAGGCGGCGAGCUGGUCCAUUACUGACGCUGAGGCGCGAAAGUGUGGGGAGCGAACAGG
rnacentral:rRNA from 1 species